UUCUUUAGUGUAAAAUCCGUAUCUUCGCAUCAACUUUUUCAGAAAAGGGAAUCACGUCCAAUUCGUGAACUGUCCCCGCAACUGUAAAUCACGGGAUGAAAAUAAGUUUAUCACUUAUCAUCCGAUUUUUCUGCUUAUCAAGCCAUUGUAACGAUACGAGAAGGCGCAGAAAAGUGAAAGUCAGGAAACCUUACUGAAAAGCAAUAUAUCA
rnacentral:ncRNA from 2 species